UCUUGGUCCAUUUAGAGGAAGUAAAAGUCGUAACAAGGUUUCCGUAGGUGAACCUGCGGAAGGAUCAUUAACGAGUUGAACGGGGUUGUAGCUGGCCUUCACRGGCAUGUGCACACCUCACUCAUCCACUCUACACCUGUGCACUUACUGUGGGUUUCGAGAGGCCGCGCUUGCGUGGUUGAUCGGGCUCACGUCUAUUACAAACUCUUCAGUAUCAGAAUGUGUAUCGCGAUGUAACGCAUCUAUAUACAACUUUCAGCAACGGAUCUCUUGGCUCUCGCAUCGAUGAAGAACGCAGCGAAAUGCGAUAAGUAAUGUGAAUUGCAGAAUUCAGUGAAUCAUCGAAUCUUUGAACGCACCUUGCGCUCCUUGGUAUUCCGAGGAGCAUGCCUGUUUGAGUGUCGUGUAAUUCUCAACCUAUAAAUCCUUGUGGUUUUUAGGCUUGGACUUGGAGGCUUUUGCUGGCUUUACCGUCGGCUCCUCUUAAAUGCAUUAGCUUGAUUCCUUGCGGAUCGGCUCUCAGUGUGAUAAUUAUCUGCGCUGUGACCGUGAAGCGUUUGGCGAGCUUCUAACCGUCUCUUUGAGACAAACACUUUGACAUCUGACCUCAAAUCAGGUA
rnacentral:rRNA from 1 species